GGGGCCGGGAUAAGCAGGGCGGGGCCAGGACAAGCAGGGCGGGCCCGGGAUAGGCAGGGCGGUGCAGGCGGGGCCGGGCGGGAGCGGCCUCCGGGUCCGGGCACGUUCUGGGCAGCCGCAGUGAUCGUACAGCGCUCCGGCCCCAUGGAGGCGGCGCGGCCGCAGCCCGCGGUGGGGCCGGAGCCGCGCGCCGAGGAGAUCGACAUGUCCUUGGAUGACAUCAUAAAGCGCCACAGGAAAGAGCAGACAGAUGCCAGUGCCUUGGGCGACAGCAGAAGGCAGCAGGUCAAGAACAGGAGUUCAGCCUCCGGAUAUAGGCGGCCCCAGUACCGACCCUGGAAGCAGAGGAAUUUGCAAGGACCUAACCGUUUCCGAAGAGGGCUUGGACAGCAGCAGUUCAAUCGGAGACAAUUCAGGAAUGCUUUGCCUGGUCACAAAAGACGAGCAGCUGCUGCAUUUGAUGGAGUGAGUCCUUUAAAUCGCCAAGCAUCAGCUCAGGAGGGCACCAAGAAGAGCAAUGCUUUUGCCAAAAGCAGCAGUGGGCAGCAGGAGGAACAGCCACAGCCAUCUCCAGGCACCAAGAGAUUCAGAGCAGAUGUUGCCAGCAUCUGCACCCCAGAGAGAAGCAGGCCUUUCCUGCUGAACAGGGGAUCGGCGUUCCAGCAGAAGCGGGUGCAGCAGUGGGUCUCCAAAGCCCGCUUCCAGAGAGGGCAGAUGGCGUCUCAAAGAGAAGGGAAAUUGCCAAGGAUGAGAAGGUGGCAAGUGAAACCCAGCCCAGGAGCAAUUCUGACUGUUUCUGUGGUUAAUCCCCAGGCAGGCCAGCCCAGCCUGCCUGGAUCCAAGCACCCAUUCCAGCAAAGCCAGAGACCCCCAGCACGGGUGGCCAAGCCCCAGCCCAAGGGGGUACUGCUGAGAUUCAACUUCCGCGCCAUGGCCAACCAGACCAGCCUGACGCUGGAUGAGAGGUUCUCUAGUCUGAGGAAUAAGAGGCGCUUUACAGCAGCCAGGAGCGCCGGACGGACGGUCACCAUGCCUUAGGACCGCGUGCUCAUCAUAGGGACUGCCUGUGACAGUCCAGGCUCCAUGGCAAGGCCUCAAUAAAAGUCGCUAGAUUCCCUUUGAGAUAGCUGAU
rnacentral:lncRNA from 1 species